rnacentral:lncRNA from 1 species
GUGCUCUGGAAGGGGGCGCGGCUGCCGCCUCCGAGGUCCUUGAGAUCGUUUUACUGCAAAACGCAACUCUGGUCACGCAGGGACCUGAGCGGACCACCUCGGCACUCUUCAAUUGGCCUCCCAGGACGGACUUCCGGCAAAGCCCCUGUGAGGACCCUGAAGCGUUUGCCAUGACAACCAUGGCGGGGUACCUGAGAGGACCAGAAGAUGGUGUCAGAUCCUCGGGAGCUGGAAUUGCUGGCAGUUGUGUGUUGCCUGACAUCAUGAGUACUAGAAAGUUAACUCAGGUAUCUAUCUAUAAGAGCAGUAAGUGCUCUUAACCACUGAGCAGUGUCUCUAACCC